UAUGGCCAUAUCACAUUAACAUACUGGUUCUUGUAUGAUCAGCAAAGUUAAGCAACAUUGAGCCUGGUCAGUACCUAGAUGGGUAGCCUCUUGAGAGUACCAGGUGCUGUAAG